rnacentral:rRNA from 1 species
AUUGAACGCUGGCGGCAUGCUUUACACAUGCAAGUCGAACGAGUGGCGAACGGGUGAGUAAUAUAUCGGAACGUACCGAGUAAUGGGGGAUAACCAUUCGAAAGAUUGGCUAAUACCGCAUAUUAUUCGGGCGGCCGAUAACUGAGUAGCUAGUUGGGGGGGUACAGGCCUACCAAGGCGACGAUCAGGAGCGGGUCUGAGAGGACGAGCCGCCUCACUGGGACUAAGAAACGGCCCAGACGCCUACGGUAGGCAGCAGUGGGGAAUUUUGGACAAUGGGGACAACCCUGAUCCAGCCAUGCCGAGUGUAUGAAGAAGGCCUUCGGGUUGUAAAGUACUUUUGUUAGGGAAGCGGUACCUAAAGAAUAAGCACCGGCUAACUACGUGCCAGCCGCCGCGGUAAUUC